rnacentral:rRNA from 1 species
CCGCAUGGGGAUAUUUGCUAAAGAUUCAUCGCUGAUAGAUAGGCAUGCGUUCCAUUAGGCAGUUGGCGGGGUAACGGCCCACCAAACCGACGAUGGAUAGGGGUUCUGAGAGGAAGGUCCCCCACAUUGGUACUGAGACACGGACCAAACUCCUACGGGAGGCAGCAGUGAGGAAUAUUGGUCAAUAGGCGUAAGCCUGAACCAGCCAAGUCGCGUGAGGGAUGAAGGUUCUAUGGAUCGUAAACCUCUUUUAUAAGGGAAUAAAGUGCGGGACGUGUCCCGUUUUGUAUGUACCUUAUGAAUAAGGAUCGGCUAACUCCGUGCCAGCAGCCGCGGUAAUACGGAGGAUCCGAGCGUUAUCCGGAUUUAUUGGGUUUAAAGGGUGCGUAGGCGGCCUUUUAAGUCAGCGGUGAAAGUCUGUGGCUCAACCAUAGAAUUGCCGUUGAAACUGGGAGGCUUGAGUAUGUUUGAGGCAGGCGGAAUGCGUGGUGUAGCGGUGAAAUGCUUAGAUAUCACGCAGAACCCCGAUUGCGAAGGCAGCCUGCCAAGCCAUGACUGACGCUGAUGCACGAAAGCGUGGGGAUCAAACAGGAUUAGAUACCCUGGUAGUCCACGCAGUA